rnacentral:rRNA from 1 species
GUCCACGCCUAACGAUGUCAACUGGUUGUCGGGAAGCAAUUCCUUGGUAACGAAGCUAACGCGUGAAGUUGACCGCCUGGGAGUACGGCCGCAAGGUUAAACUCAAAGGAAUUGACGGGACCCGCACAAGCGGUGGAUUAUGUGGAUCAAUUCGAUGCAACGCGAAACCUUACCUACCCUUGACAUGUACGGAACCCUUCAGAAAUGGAGGGUGCCCGAAAGGGAACCGUAACACAGGUGCUGCAUGGCUGUCGU